rnacentral:lncRNA from 10 species
AAAGCGCCUGCAGGCGGCCGGGUUCCUCUACGGUGACCUCCGAGCUGGUGAACAUAGAUAUGAUGGUUGGAGCCCCAGCAGCCAUUUUGGACCAUGAGGAUGGAAACCAUGGAAUAAGGAUGGUGUGGCAGAAAGAUAAAAGGAGGCUGAGUCCCUGAUAACAUAAUGGAGCUGCUGCACCACUUCUUAACUGUCCGACUCCAGACUUCUUUGAUUUGAGAGACUAAAUUGCUGAUUUAUUUAAGCCACUGUUGUCAAUAAAAAGCAGUUAGGAAUACAGUUCCUAGAAGGCACAUUCAUAUUUUCAUUUCACACUAGAAAAAUGGAAUAAAAUGUGUUAUAAGUUGUUUGGGGGGG